UUGCCCUAAAAUUGGCUCCUAGAUCAAGAUGAGCAUUUAUUAGCCUGCCUAGUACAUUUACACUCAAAGGAUGUGUCUUUUGUACCUCUACACAUAGUAUCCUUAAUAGGACAACCUUUGUCUUUCUACAUGAACGACCUACCCCAUAUAGGGGCGAUACCGCUCCUAUCAGAUUGCUGAUAGCGCAUGUGGACAUUGGAUUUCUCAACUUAUGACUAACAGAGCAUGUCCCUUUGGGAGGGACCUGCCUCCCAUCAACUAGUUGGUGACGUAAUGGCUCACCAACGCCACCACGCGUACGCGACCUGAGAGGGUGGCCCCCCAUCAUGGAACUGAAACACCGUCCAUACACCCUACGGGUGUCCUCAAUAUGGACUAUUGCCCGCUGGCUCCAUAUCCUGAUGCGACGACUCCCCCAGUUGGAUCGAUGCCUUCUGGUCCGCUAAUGCAUCUUUUUGGUGAGAUUAGCCUGGACGCUCUCCCCCGGCUAACUCUCAGCUGGCUGCCUGCUCGCCUCCGGCUUCAACCCGCGGCGGCAAGCGGUAUCCCCAUUCCCUGAGUAUGGUGGCGUACAGUAGCCCAGAAUAUUAUGUAUCUAUUCCACUGCUUAUGUCGAAAUAUCGCGUUGUUUUACUCCGCUCCACACCCACGGACGACCAUGUACUUUCCUGAUUUCUGUGGAAUGUCCUAUUUGUGCUGAGUUGCUCUUUUGUUCAGUCACGUCCCGUGCUGCGUCCUCCCCGCGGUCGCGCUACCCGCGGGCACAACCCCGUCCUUUACCCCCGCUCUCACCAUCUCUCUCACGUGAGAGCUCGUAAGUGUCUGCAGA
rnacentral:rRNA from 1 species